UACGAGGGGGGCGAGCGUUGUUCGGAAUUAUUGGGCGUAAAGGGUGCGUAGGCGGUUUGGUAAGUCUGAUGUGAAAUCUAUGGGCUCAACUCAUAGUCUGCAUCGGAAACUGCCGGGCUUGAGUAUGGGAGAGGUGAGUGGAAUUCCUGGUGUAGCGGUGAAAUGCGCAGAUAUCAGGAAGAACACCCGUGGCUAAGGCGGCUCUCUAGUACGGUACUGACGCUGAGACGCGAAAGCGUGGGGAGCGAACCGG
rnacentral:rRNA from 1 species